AUUGAACGCUGGCGGCAGGCCUACCACAUGCAAGUCGAGCGGAGCGGCAGAGGGGGAAGGAAGACUUAGGAAUCUGACUGGUAGUGGGGGAUAACGUUCGGAAACGGACGCGAAUACCGAAAACUAUCAGAUGAGCAUAGGUCGGAUUAGACAGUUGGUGAGGUAAUGGCUCACCAAGGCCACGAUCCGUAACUGGUCUGAGAGGAUGAUCAGUCACACUGGAACUGAGACACGGUCCAGACUCCUACGGUAGGCAGCAGUGGGGAAUAUUGGACAAUGGGCGAAAGCCUGAUCCAGCCAUGCCGCGUGUGUGAAGAAGGUCUUCGGGUUGUAAAGCACUUUCAGUUGGGAGGCGUUACCGACAGAAUAAGCACCGGCUAACUCUGUGCCAGCAGCCGCGGUAAUUC
rnacentral:rRNA from 1 species